AGCAGCCGCGGUAAUUCCAGCUCCAAUAGCGUAUAUUAAAGUUGUUGCAGUUAAAAAGCUCGUAGUUGAAUUUCGGGGUUAGUAGGUUGGUCAUGCCUCUGGUAUGUACUGGUCUCACUGAUUCCUCCUUCCUGAUGAGCCGUAAUGCCAUUAAUUUGGUGUUGCGGGGAAUUUGGACUGUUACUUUGAAAAAAUUAGAGUGUUUAAAGCAAGCUAACGCUUGAAUACAUUAGCAUGGAAUAAUGAAAUAGGACGUUCGAUCCUAUUUUGUUGGUUUCUAGGAUUGACGUAAUGAUUAAUAGGGAUAGUUGGGGGCAUUAGUAUUCAAUUGUCAGAGGUGAAAUUCUUGGAUUUAUUGAAGACUAACUACUGCGAAAGCAUUUGCCAAGGAUGUUUUCAUUAAUCAAGAACGAAAGUUAGGGAUCGAAGACGAUCAGAUACCGUCGUAGU
rnacentral:rRNA from 1 species